rnacentral:tmRNA from 1 species
GGGGGUGACCGGUUUCGACUUGGGACGGUAGUCGCAAGGGAAGCGGGCCGAGGAUCCACGCUUAUCUCGUUAACGAUGCAUGGAAACCAAUAAGUGCCAACAACAACCGCACUGACUUCGCUCUCGCUGCCUGAUCAGCGAUCGAAGGGUCAACCCGGACGAGCCUUCGGUCCGGGACCUGGCCUCAUUUAGAGGGCUUGCUGCCCAGCUUGUGUUUCAGGGGCUGGGUGGGACUUAACUGAUACUGGGUCCGUUUGCGACGUGCUGACGCGAGUGCAAGGACCGAGAAGACGCCAUCGUCAGCUGCGCCCGGAGAAGACUUGCUUCGCCGCUUAAGGACGCGGGUUCGAUUCCCGCCACCUCCACCC